GAAAUGCGAUAAGUAAUGUGAAUUGCAGAAUUCAGUGAAUCAUCGAAUCUUUGAACGCACCUUGCGCUCCUUGGUAUUCCUUGGAGCAUGCCUGUUUGAGUAUCAUGAAAUCUUCAAAGUAAAUCUUUUGUUAACUCAAUUGGUUUCUACUUUGGUAUUGGAGGUCUUUGCAGCUUCACACCUGCUCCUCUUUGUUCAUUAGCUGGAUCUCAGUGUUAUGCUUGGUUCCACUCAGCGUGAUAAGUUAUCUAUCGCUGAGGACACUGUAAAAGGUGGCCAAGGUAAAUGCAGAUGAACCGCUUCUAAUAGUCCAUUGACUUGGACAAUACUUUUAUGAUCUGAUCUCAAAUCAGGUAGGACUACCCGCUGAACUUAAGC
rnacentral:misc_RNA from 1 species